UCUGAUGGAGCAACGCCGCGUGAACGAUGAAGGCCUUCGGGUCGUAAAGUUCUGUUGUAAGGGAAGAACAAGUGCCGCAGGCAAUGGCGGCACCUUGACGGUACCUUGCGAGAAAGCCACGGCUAACUACGUGCCAGCAGCCGCGGUAAUACGUAGGUGGCAAGCGUUGUCCGGAAUUAUUGGGCGUAAAGCGCGCGCAGGCGGCCUCUUAAGUCUGAUGUGAAAGCCCCCGGCUCAACCGGGGAGGGCCAUUGGAAACUGGGAGGCUUGAGUAUAGGAGAGAAGAGUGGAAUUCCACGUGUAGCGGUGAAAUGCGUAGAGAUGUGGAGGAACACCAGUGGCGAAGGCGACUCUUUGGCCUAUAACUGACGCUGAGGCGCGAAAGCG
rnacentral:rRNA from 1 species